AUGGGCGUGUUGUGCAAUGCCGACGGCGGCGGGCCUAACAACUUGUCUGCGGCCCUCGGCGCCUCGCUGGACGGCUGGUGCUCAGUGAGUCACCGACACAAAACCUGUCCGUACCCAUCCCGCCUCAGUUUGGCGGCUUGCCGGCGCUCACGCACCUCGACCUCAGCAACAAUGCGCUCACUGGCCCGUCCCGGCGAAGCCGAACGGAACGCCUAUAUUAUUCUCUGCCGAAUGUUUUCGUGUGCUCCUGUUCGCUUAUGCAGACCAGGGAGCAAACUGGAGAGCCUCGCCGUCAACUCCAACCACCUCGAGGGCGCCAUCCCGGACGCCAUUGGCGACCUCACGGCGCUGCGCGAGCUCAUGUUCUAG
rnacentral:rRNA from 1 species